AUUGAACGCUGGCGGCAGGCCUAACACAUGCAAGUCGAACGAGGGGCGGACGGGUGAGUAAUGUCUGGGAAACUGCCUUAUGGAGGGGGUGAACUACUGGAAACGGUCGCUUAUACCGCAUACCAUCAGAUGUGCCCAUUUGGGAUUAGCUAGUUGGGGGGGUACCGGCUCACCAAGGCGACGCUCCCUAGCUUGUCUGAGAGGAUGACCAGCCAGACUGGAACGGAGACACGGCCCAGGCUCCUACGGGAGGCAGCAGUGGGGAAUAUUGCACAAGGGGCGGAAGCCUGAUGCAGCCAUGCCGCGUGUAUGAAGAAGGCCUUCGGGUUGUAAAGUACUUUCAGUGGGGAGGCGUUACCCGCAGAAGAAGCACCGGCUAACUCCGUGCCAGCAGCCGCGGUAAUAC
rnacentral:rRNA from 1 species